rnacentral:lncRNA from 1 species
ACGUACUCUGCAUAUGUGCAUGCCAACAACUAUAAAAGGAGACCAUGAGGCAAUGAGUUGAUCAUCAAAGCAAACACACAGAAAUCCCAACUAAAAAUCAAUCAGUGAGACAAUGGCUGGAACCAAUGAUAUUAAAAUUAAAGGGUUUGAUUUGAGCAACAACAAAGGCAACACGUCGGGAUUAACCCACUUCGCCAACAGAGCUGCCGAGGGCGACAAGGGCGACAAUAAAAUCGAGGUUGAGGAUGCUAAAGGGCAAGGGAACACGGGAAACUUGAAAGUACUGACCGACUUCGCCCAACGCGGUAAAGUGGGCCAGUCGGAUCGCCAAGAACUACUCAAACCUCAGGCAUGAAAUUGAAGAAGGCCAGACCACAACAACUUGUCUGCUUGAUAGAUAUAUGUGCUAAAUUAUCUACACAAAAAUAAGAGCUGAUGUUUUAUCUGAGGCUCCUUCCUUGGUUAGGCCUCGUUAUCAUGUGUAAUAUUAAUAUUAUUAUUCUAAUAAAAUAAUGGUAGCUUAUUAUUAAAUAUAUCAGAAUUCUAUACGUAUAACUUUUAGAUUAUUGAUACUGAUGUCAACAAGAGAAAAUGAUUAAAAAUUCCUUUCUCCAAUUCGUGAUGUUAGACAAGAAGCAAACAAAUUUAGGAUAAUGGAUUUUAAAAGUUUGGUGACAAAUGAUGGUAAAGAAGAAUUUAGCCACUACUACAAAAAGUGAAAAAGACGACCAGAAAACAACGACGGUCUAAGUGAAAACCGUCGUGGUUUAUAAAAAGACGACGGUUCUAAAAACACCGUCGUGUAAUACAACCUUAGACAACUAAAAAAUGGAGUUUCAAAUGGCUGUUCAAAAACAACGACGUACAUAAUUAAACAACCGACGUCUAUUUGAAACAGAUUUCCUCAGUGUAAAAUCAAUGCCAACAAAGAACGGCAGAAGUUAUGAAUCGACCGACGUAGAAAGUAAAGACGACGAUUUCAAUAAAAACUGCCGUUUUUACUCAUAAAAUAACACGACGAGGUUUUCGUAUAAGACGCCGUAUAAUUACAAACAAAUCCACGGCUUUAAAAUACAAAAUAUCGCCGUAUUAAAUUAAUUUACAACGACGGAAAAUAUAAAUAUAUCGACGUCAUUCUCGUAUAGUUCUACUACGUUAUCUUUAAAUCGUACAAUAAAAUUUAUCGUCGUAUUUAUUCAUUUUAUACGUCGUACCUUUAAUUUUAACGGUCGUCUUAAUAAGAAUUUUUGUUAACAAUUUUUUUCUUUGAUUUUCUUAUCCUACGUCGGUAGAUCUACUUAAUGACAAGAAUUGAAAUAACCACGACGGUUUAUAUAGAACACCGCCGACAUAAUCAGUUUUGUCUGAGAUCCCAAGGGUUACGAAAUCUUACCAGAUGGAACUCUGUUCCACAUCAUAAUCUUAACAGAUGACACAGAUUUGCAAAUAUUGCGUCGUGUUAGUUUACAAAUUCUAGAACAUUAAUUUCCCUCAUUUUAAAUUUCCUCGGGAAAGAAAAAUCUAUUUAUCACGCUUUGGAAUUGAAAACUAAAACUGAAAGAAUACGGGAAAAAAAACUCCAUUUAUAAUUUAAAAUUAAAAUCCACGUCGGUUGUAGUACACUUAACGACGUUUAACAAAAUAAUCUACGUCGGUAAUUAUAAAUCUACCGCCAUCGUAACUUAAUAUAGACGACGAGAAAAGACGACGGUAGAACAGAAAACCGCCGUUGUUUCAGUUUCUUUAACAUAUCUUUCUGCAGGACUUGUGUAGUUCAAAGCAUUGACAAUGUCUUCAUCAUAUCUCCCAGAAACUACUGAUUCAAUUGCUCAUGCUUUAGAGGCCAUCUGAAGCCAUUUCUAUUCUUUAUCGCAUUCUUGAAACCCAUCUUCUUCUUCUGAAGCUCUACGGAUAAAGGAAGAGGCUAUCACAAUAAAUCCGACGGAUCUUCUUAGGCAAGAAAAUCAAGCAGAGGAUCAGGCACAUCUGAUCUUCAGAUUUCCCUGAGAAGCGAACUUUCCUUCGACAGCGAGUGGAGGCCAGGCUUGCAUCUCUUUUGAUGGAAAGCAAGGAGUAUUCAGAAGCACUAAGUGUCCUAUCAGGCUUGAUCAAGGAAGUGAGAAGGCUAGUUGACAAGCUUCUUCUUGUGGACAUAUAUUUGAUGCGAGUAAGCUCAAUUUCUCUUUGAGAAAACAUCCAAAUUAUUAUCUUUGAGACAUGAGAGACUGAGAGAGGAAGAACUUGGAACCUUAAAUGUAAACCGAAAAUGAAUGAAAGCGACAAAUUUAUAGAAUAAAUUUUUAAAACCAACGGCGGUCCUUACAAACAAACCGCCGUUUAAAUUGUAAAAUCAACGUCGGUAUGAUCGACGUAUAUUACAGAAAUCCACGUCGGUAAAUUAAUAAAAACGACGUGUUAAAUAAUAUACCAUGACGCGAGUUAUUACUUAUGUACUUUAAUUUUUGAGUUUACUACGACGGUACCUACAAACUACUGUCGUAUUUAUUUACCACGUCCGAAGUUAAAUGUACCGUCGUAUUUUGUAAUUUAUACGUCGUAGUUAUAUGUAACCGCCAUAUUAUUUUUUUGAAAUGGUUUUAUAUGUAAGCAACUUUUCGUCUACUUGACUUACACAUUUGUUGUUUUUAUAUUCUUAUUUUAUUUAAAUCUGUCAUCCAAAAAAGAAACUUUACAUAUUGCAGAAUAUUAAUUUCCUUCGUUUUAAAUUUCCUCCGGAAAAAAAACUCUAUUUAUAACGCACUGUAAUUGAAAAAUAAACUGAAAGGUCACGGGAAAAAAAAUUCUAUUCAUAAUUUAAAAAUUAAAAUCCACGUCGGUUAUAUUAAACCUAACGACGUUAAAUGAAAUGAUUCCACGUCGAAUGAAAAAUAUUGCGUCGUUUUAGUUAAAAACGACGUAGUUAAAUGUAACCGCCGUAUUAUUUUUUUGAAAUGGUUUUAUAUGUAAGCAACUUUUCGACUUACACAUGCACUGUUUCCAAACCCGAUUAAAAAUUUCAAUCUCCCAGAGAAACCUUUUCGUCUUUUUUCCUUGUCAGAGCAUUGUCAGAGUUUUUCAUCGUCUUCCUCUCGUCUUCUUCGUCGUCUCUGAACUUAAACAUCGAUCAUCUUCCUCUUGCUUUCAUUGCACGCAAAAGGUAAGCUUUCAUUUUCACUAUUUUGGUUACUGUUUUGCAUGCUCAUACGUUUUUUGUUUGAAAAAUCUUUUUACCUUUUUUCUGGCCAAAAUCAUUUUACUUCUUUCCAAGUUUGAUAAAAUAUACAGACAAAGAGAGAAAGUUUCCAACUUUGAAGACAACUACAUCAACUAAAUAAGACGACGGUAGACCACGACGGUUCGUCAGUUGUUCUAGCGUCGUCUGAAAAUUGACAAAGUUGUUUUUAAAAUAAUAGUCUUUUUUUAUAUGCUUGUUUAAUUGCAGGUUUGAUUUCGCUGAACAAUGGUUUUUGUUUUUCCCUUAUUUGAUAAAAUAUAAAGAAAAAGAAACUAGGGUUGGUAUCUAAUAUAGACGAUAAAAUAUAAAUAAUAGUUUACCACGACGGUGUAUUACUAUUGACGUCGUGUGAACAUAUAUACCACGACGUUAUAUAAAUAAUGGUUUUAAACAUUUAUUACGUCUGAGAUUAUUUCAUUGCGUCGUCUAAAAUCAUAUCAUACGUCGUAUUUUUUUAAUACCGUCGUUUGUGUUCUUAAUGUUUUCCUGAAAUAUUUUCACUUGCAGUUUUGUCUGUUAAAAUGGUUUCUCAACAACAAACUAAGGAUUCUGGCUCCAAGAAGCUUGGAAUGGUAGCUCCUCAAGAUAAGUCUUCGAAGGAGAUGAAGUCUUCGAAGAAGAUGAAGUUUGCUUCAUCAUCUGCUGAGACAGAACAAACCAGCCAGACAACAAUCUCAGAUGAUUCAAAGACUGGUCGAGGUAUGAGCACAAUGCCUCGUGUUGUGAAGAGAAAGCUUCAGAAACUGAGGCCAAUUGUUGAGUACAAUAAAAGGGGGAAAGGUGUUGGCCAAGCACAUAUUGAGAUGCAGUCGUAUAUUGGUGUGUUGGCACGCUCCAGGAUCCCACUUGUGGACAAGAAAUGGUCCCAAAUCCCCAAGGAUAUAAAGGAGCAGAUUUGGGAAGCAGUUGACAUGGCUUUUGUCGUAGGCCAAGGGGGCAAGACCUCUGUUUUAGCUUCUGCUUCCAAGAAAUGGAAGGAUUUCAAGUCUACACUAACGAGGCAUUAUAUCCUUCCAUACACCAAUGACAGGGAGAAAUUAAGCCAACCCCCUGAAACAUAUAAAUUCAUAGAGAAAGCACAAUGGGAUGCCUUUGUAGCUUCAAGGCUAUCCAAAGAUUUUGAGUCUGUGCAUUCUCAACAUGCACAGAUUAGGGAGAAACUCGAGUACAAUCAUCGAUUGUCUCGAAAAGGAUAUGCUGGAUUGGAGGAUCAAUUGGAGGAAACCAUGCCUGGGGUAGAAAUUGAUCGAUCUACCUUAUGGAAGAGAGCUAGACAGGACAAACAUGGUAACAUCCCUGAUCCAAAGGUGGCAGAGAAAGCAAAAUUAAUUGUAAGCCUACUAUCACUCUGUUUUAAAUUUUUAUUAAACUGUGAAUUAUUCUUAUUACGUCGUAUGUUAUAUUUUUCGUCGUGUGAAUGAUAUUACCACGUCGAAAAGUUUUUAAAAACGUCGUUAAAGGUCUAAAUAGGAAUCACUACUAUGUUUUCUGUAAUUACAGCAUAAGACGUCGGUGGUUCAUUUUCGCGUCGUGUGAAUGAUAUUACCACGUCGAAAAUUUUUUAAAAACGUCGUUAACGGUCUAAAUAGGAAUCACUACUCUGUUAUCUUUAAUUAUAGCAUAAGACGUCGGUUGUUUAUUCAUUUCGUCGUUUUAAAUAAAUAACCACGUCGGUAUAACUACCGUCGUGAUAAGUUAUAAUAACGUCGGUUUAUACGUUAUUGCGUCGUGUGAAAUUAUAUAAUACGUCGUUUGUACAUAAAUAACCGUCGUGUGUUUUUUUGUUUAUCUUUUUUUAGGAUGAAUUGCAGAAACAAGUCUCGGAAGGCAAAGUCAGAGUAGAUGGCAGCAAUGAUGUGCUGACCAUGGCUUUGGGCCCCGAGCAUCCAGGCAGACUGAGGGGAGUUGGUGCUGGUGUUUCCCCAAGGCAAUAUUUCAAUUUGCCCAAACCACAGAGGGUGAGCUUUGACGACCGUUUGAAGGACAGUUUAAGAGUUCUCCUUCAAGAAGAGACUAAAAAGAUGGAGGCUAAGGCAAGGGAAGAGGCCUUAAGGAUGGAGGCUAGGACAAAACAAUUGGUAGAGGCUGAGAGGGAGCAUUUCCUGAGUCAGCUUUCCCAAUUAAUUCCCAAUUUUGAUCCAAGCAUGCUUAAACCAAGAAUUAGCCAAAGCCCCAAAAAUCCAAUGUCUGACAAAGCUAGCUGCUCUGGAGGUGAUGUGAGAUCCCUACAUUUGGAGGAUGAUACUGCCAAAAUGGGGAAACAUCAGCCAGAUGAAGAGAAGGAAGAAGAAAAAAGAGAUGAAGAGAAGGAAGAAGAAAAGGAGAAAGAAGAUGAAGAAAAGCAUGACGACAAGGUAUGUUCACAUAACUUUGCCUUUUUUAUUUGUUUUUCAAAAUUUCAGACGUCGAUAUUUUUAUUUAAUCCGUCGUUUGUUUAAAACUUAGACGGCGGAAUUUUUUUAAGACGUAAUAAAAUAUUUAAACGACGGUUUUUGCACCGUCGUUUAAAUGGUUUCAGACGACGCUUUAUUCAUAAAACCGUCGUCUUUAUUGAAUUACCACGACAGUUUUUUCACCGUCGUUUAAAUACUUUUAAGACGACGUUUUAUUACUUAAACCGUCGUCUUUAUUGAAUUACCACGUCAUUUUUUUUAUUUCUUUAAACAGGUUAUUGAAGUUGGUGCUUAUUCAAAAAUGGAGGCGCCAUCUUCUUUAAAAACCCUUUGUCGUUUUGUGGAAACGACACUCCUGCCUGAGGAUAAGACACUCCAAUUUACAAUUGAUAAGGAGGUGUUUGGUGGUGAGCGCGAUACCUUCCUCCUGCCUGAAGAUAUUACACAAUUUGCAGGCAUGGAAGAAAUUGGAGCUACUGUAUUGGCUGUAUAUAUGAGGUUUGUACUUCUAAAAUAAUACCUCGUUGGUUUAUAUAUUGCGUCGUCUUAACUAACUAACCACGUCGUCUUAACUAACUACCGUCGUGAUAAAUAUAUUAUAACGUCCUCAUCUAUUUCAGUACGUCGUGUGAAAUAUUAUAAUACGUCGUUUUUUUAUACAUAACCGUCGUGUUUGUUUGUGCUGACUUGUUUAUAUUAUUUUAUGUAUUUAGGUACUUACACGAUGUUUUGAAACAAGCCAAUAUGUGCAGCAUGGUUGGCUUUAUUGACCCUGCUACAGUUAGUGCCAACUCUGGCACAAUAACUGAAAGAUCACGACUGGUAGCAGCUCGACUUCAGAAGACAGACGGUGAACAGCUUUUCAUGAUGCCUUACAAUCCAGGGUUAGUCUCCUUAGGAUUUUGUUUUUAUGAUUUUCAAUAAAUGACAGCUUAUAAACUAACCACGUCGGUGUUUUAUUUUAUUUAGUCGUUUGAAACUACUAACCACGUCGGUAUUUAUUUGUCGUCGUGAUAAAUAUAUAAUGUUGUCGUUAUCUACUUUAUUUCGUCGUGUGAAAUACUAUAAUACGUCGUUUUUGUAAAUAACCGUCGUUUUUAUAUUAAUUUUGUGCAGCCGUCAUUGGAUCCUGCUGAUUGUAAGAGCAAAGAAGGAGACCGUCUAUUUUCUGGAUCCUCUGCCAGGUCAUCGUGUGGUCGACGAAGAGGCGAAAAACAUCGUGAACAGUGCUUUAAAAAUAUAUAAUACCCACAUAGGCCGAGCAGGACGUAAAAAUGUAAUUUGAAAAACUCUCUCAGGCACACCAAAGCAACCCAGCAAUGUCGAAUGCGGGUAUUAUGUGAUGCGCUUCAUGAGGGACAUCAUCAUGGAUCCUUCCUUGGGGUUUGAGAAUAAGGUAAGAAGAAAUUACCUUCAUACAUUUCACGUCGUUUUUUGUAUUAUCAACGACGGUCAUGUAAAAUUAACGUCGUUGAAUGGAUAUACUACGUCGGUUAUGAAAAAUAUCGUCGUCUGUGAUUGAAUUUCUUUUUAUUUAUAAACCCUAAUAGUCAUUGUUUAUGCAGUAUGCCAAGGGAAACCAGGAAGCUUCAUACCCCCAAGAAGCCAUUGAUGAAGUCCGGAAUGAAUGGGCAGAGUUUGUUUUCCAAAUUAUUAAACAGGGCAAUUAUUGAACACUUGAUAUUUAUGUAUAAUGUACCAAUUUUCUCUAUAAUAUGUAAUGUAAAAAUUUGUUGAGGUUUUCUUAAAUUAAAAAAAAAACAAACAUACAAAUUGCUUAACCGACGUGUAAUACUUUUCCAACGACCUAAUAAAGUCACAAACCGUCGUAUUUUGUUGUUUCGUGUUUUAAACAAUUACGACGUAAAAAAAUAGUUAGACGACGUUCUUUGAACAAUUGAGUCGUUAAUGGUUUACAAUAUCUUCAAUUUCUUAAGGGUUCAGGGUAUAAUCGACGACGUUUAUGUAACGACUGCGGUUAAGUCGUAAAAUAUAUAUUUUACGUCGUAUAGUUAAAUAGCCGCCAUGGUUUUUCAUUUUAACGACGUCAUUUUAACGACUUAGUAGUCUAUUACAAUUUACAACGUCUACAAUUUAUUAACACCGACGUGGUUUGUUGUUGUGGUAAGAAUAUUUUAUUAUUUUUAUAUCAAAAUAUUCAAAAUAAAUUUAAAAUAAAUCAGAAAAUUGAAAAGUCAACUCCUAUGAAGUCAUUGAUAUAUUUUCUUCCACAUAAACCUUGAAAAAAUUCAUUUUGAAUAACAAAAAUUUAAAAUGACCAUCCAAAACAAAAUUGUUUUGAUGACUCAUAAAAUCACUUCUAGUUUUAUGGUUUAGGGUUUAGAGUCUAGGGUUUAGAGAUUAGGGUUGUUAUUUAUUGGGGUUUAUUUUUAAAGUAUAAUUUUUGGGUAGUCUAGGGUAUAUGUUAGGCUUUAAAACCAUAAAACCUUUUAUAAACUUAAUUUUUUAAAUUGUAUAAUUUAAUUUUAUGGGUUUAGGGUAUUAAUUUUUAACGACGGUGGUUGGGUCGUGGAAUACAUAUUUUACGUCGUACAGUAAAACAUACGACAUGGUUUACGCUUUAAACGACGUCAUUUUAAUAUGUAAGUCGGUUUAUAUAAUUUACAACGUCAACGUCUUUAAUUUCUUAACACCGACGUGGUUUUUCAGUCGUCGUUAUAUAAAAAAUUCAAAAUAAAUUUAAAAUUAAUCCGAAAAAUGAACGGCCUUACGUUCUUAAUCCGAAAAAUGAAGUUUCCGUCGUGGAAUAUUAAAUUUACGUCGGUACUUGUAGAACUUUCGCCUUGGUUUUUCUUUCGACGUUUUAAAACGCGCGCGCUCUAAAAAUUUUCGCGCGACCUAAACUUUUUUAGAUUUGGCUCUUAUUCUUAUACUUCGAACCCUGAAACCUAAAANNNNNNNNNNNNNNNNNNNNNNNNNNNNNNNNNNNNNNNNNNNNNNNNNNNNNNNNNNNNNNNNNNNNNNNNNNNNNNNNNNNNNNNNNNNNNNNNNNNNNNNNNNNNNNNNNNNNNNNNNNNNNNNNNNNNNNNNNNNNNNNNNNNNNNNNNNNNNNNNNNNNNNNNNNNNNNNNNNNNNNNNNNNNNNNNNNNNNNNNNNNNNNNNNNNNNNNNNNNNNNNNNNNNNNNNNNNNNNNNNNNNNNNNNNNNNNNNNNNNNNNNNNNNNNNNNNNNNNNNNNNNNNNNNNNNNNNNNNNNNNNNNNNNNNNNNNNNNNNNNNNNNNNNNNNNNNNNNNNNNNNNNNNNNNNNNNNNNNNNNNNNNNNNNNNNNNNNNNNNNNNNNNNNNNNNNNNNNNNNNNNNNNNNNNNNNNNNNNNNNNNNNNNNNNNNNNNNNNNNNNNNNNNNNNNNNNNNNNNNNNNNNNNNNNNNNNNNNNNNNNNNNNNNNNNNNNNNNNNNNNNNNNNNNNNNNNNNNNNNNNNNNNNNNNNNNNNNNNNNNNNNNNNNNNNNNNNNNNNNNNNNNNNNNNNNNNNNNNNNNNNNNNNNNNNNNNNNNNNNNNCUGUUUUUGUUUAAAACCCGUCGUCUCAUGUUGUUUAUACCUUGCGAUUAGAUCAUGUAUAAUCUGCUAUAGUGAUGGUCAUGCCUGUAUUUUCACUUUUAUAUAGAUAAUAGGUUAUAGUGUCGGAGAUGGAUAAGUCAUGGAUGCACUCGGAUAGAAGAUCGAAGGCAUAUGAGUUUGGGGUGGAAGCAUUUUUGAACUUUGCUGUAGAAAAUCUUCUAACUACAACACAUAUCCGUUGUCCAUGUGUUAAAUGUGUUAAUUUGAAGUUGUUUGGGGUUGGAAUUAUAAGGGAUCACUUAUACUUUAAUGGAAUUGACCAAAGCUAUAAGAAUUGGACAUUUCACGGAGAACCUUGGGAAGCAACUACUAAUGCUAGCAGAAAUGUUGAAGAAGAUGAUGGCCAUAGUAGGUACAGUUUUGUGUCUGAAGAAAUUGAUAUGGAUGAUAAUGAUUUUGGUGAUUUUGGUUCGGAUCCGUAUGAGUUUGCCAAUGUGAUUGGGGAUGGAGAUCAACCAGUGUACCCUGGUUGUAGAAAGUACACGAAGUUAUCGGCAUUAGUGAAGUUGUAUAAUUUGAAGGCAAAACAUGGGAUGAGUGAUGUCUGUUUUACAGAAUUAUUGAUACUUCAAGGCGAUUUGCUUCCAGAAGGAAAUACAAUACCAACCUCCAUGUAUGAGGCUAAAAAGACUUUGUGUGCAUUGGGGCUGAGUUAUGAGAAAAUGCACGCAUGCCCCAAUGAUUGCAUCUUGUAUAGGAAGGAGUAUGAGGAUUCAACUAAUUGUCCUACUUGUGGUAUCUCAAGGUGGAAGGAAGGCAAAGAUGCAAUCUUGAAAGAGGGUGUGCCAGCGAAGGUGGUGUGGUAUUUUCCCCCAAUUCCAAGGUUUAAAAGGAUGUUUCAAUCACAUGAGACAGCUAAGAGUUUGACUUGGUGGCAUGUUGCUAGAAAAUCAAUUGACGGUCAGAUGUCUCAUCCGGCGGAUUCCCCGUCUUGGAAACUUCUUGAUGAUAAAUGGCCUGAGUUUGGUAAUGAGCCGAGAAACUUGAGAUUGGCUCUUUCAUCUGAUGGAUUCAAUCCCCACAGUUCUCUAAGUAGCAGAUAUAGUUGUUGGCCGGUUAUCUUAGUUACAUAUAAUCUCCCUCCAUGGCUGUGCAUGAAACGAAAGUUCAUGAUGUUAACCUUAUUGAUUUCCGAUCCUAAACAACCCGGAAAUGAUAUAGACGUCUACUUGGAGCCUUUGAUUGAUGAUUUAAAAUCCUUGUGGGUUGGGAUUAGAGGAGUGUAUGAUGCACAUAAUGGAGAAUACUUUACACUCAGAGCUGCAUUAAUGUGGACAAUUAAUGAUUUCCCCGCCUAUGGAAACUUAUCUGGUUGUGUUGUUAAAGGAUAUAAAGCUUGUCCAAUAUGCGGCGAUGAUACACCUAGUCAAACAAAUAUUUUUUGUUGACGACCCGAUGCAUCGUGGUUGGUCGUGUAGGCGUGUGAGUGUGUGUUUGUGUUUGUUUUUGUGUGUGUGUGUGUGUGUGUGUGUGGUGUGUGUGUGUGUGUGUGUACCAUUACUNNNNNNNNNNNNNNNNNNNNNNNNNNNNNNNNNNNNNNNNNNNNNNNNNNNNNNNNNNNNNNNNNNNNNNNNNNNNNNNNNNNNNNNNNNNNNNNNNNNNAUGUAAUUGGCAGUGUAUGACAUUAAUUUUGUAAUAUAUUGUAAUGUGAUUUCUUCACUUUCUACGUUCAAAUAAAACACGACGUUAUUGUGAAUCAGUUAUUCAGCAUAUUUACCGACGUCUUAAAGCAACGUAACAAUGAAGAACCACGACGCUAUUGUGAAGCAAUUAUUCAGGAUAUCACGUCGGUGAAGGAUAAAGAACCGCCAUGUAAUUCAAAAUAACACGACUCCAAUCCCAUAAUACCGACGUCUAAAAAACGAGAUAUGUAAUCUGAACGUUAAAAAAUACGACGUCAUCAUACAUUUUCCACGUCGCAAGUUCUUUUAUAAACGAAGAGGAACGAAAUUAAUUCCGACGGAAAUUCAUUAUAACCGCCGUCUAAUAACAAUUAAACGACGUUAUUUGUAAUACGGCUCCCAUCAUAAUCUACGCCGUCUAUAUGUUCUGUAAUACGGCUCUCAUUUAUUUGGAACCGACGUUGUUUAGACGUUCAACGUCGUCUAUAUUAUUAAGUGCGUCGUGAGUAAUGAAUACAUAUAAAUACAACGUCGACUAUAUAAAUGUAUACGUCGUAAAUAAUGACACUGACAACUAUUUCCACGUCAUCUUUUUUAGAUAAAAUCGAAGUGGAAAAUUUAUUUCACGACGGUUUUUUGUAAAUAAGAGACGUUGUAGAACUUUAGCAGACUAAACACGUCUGUUUUUAUUGUUUUCCGACGUUGUUGUAUUUAACAACGUCUAAUAUUUAUGGUCGUUGUUUGUUUCUGAAAAUAGGACGUAUAAAUUUUUUAAUACGACUCUCAUAUAUUUGUAACUGACGUUGUUUAGUUUUUCAACGUCUACUAUAGAAACACAUACGUCGUAAAUAAUGACACUGACAACUAUUUCCACGUCAUCUUUUAUCAAAAAAUCGAAGUGGAAAAUUAAUUGUACGACGGUUGUGUUUAUAUGUGCGACGUAGUAGGUAUCAAUAACAUCGUCUUCUAAUGUAUUUAAAGACGUCAUAUUUUUUAUUGUCGUGAAAAUUAUAUUUAACGUCGGCGUAUUUUUAUUGUCGUCGUUGUAUGUCUAUCUUGCGGCCUUGUUCUCUUAAUAUGUGUCAUAUUUUCCCUUUUUAACGACGGUCUUUUUAGAGAAUUGGUCGUCUAUUAUCAUCAUCGAUUGCUUUUUUUAGAUCUUUUUGCAGUACAAAGACGUCGUUUUGUAUUUUUUGAUGACGUUGUAUUGUUUAACAACGACGGUUAUUUAGCGUCGUGGUUUAUGAGGGAAAAGAUGACGGUGGAUUCCACGACCAUUGAAAAACCAAAUACACGACGGUGAUUUACCGUCGUCUUUUUGCUUUUUUGUAGUAGUGAUCGGAAACUUGACUAAUUAGAAUACAACAUAUGUCGAAAUAUUUUUAUCAUAAAUGGUCUCUAAGGUUCGUGAAAUUAUUAGCUUUAGUCCUUCAUGUUUUUUUGUGACAUCAUUGGUCCUUUAUGUUACUCCUCUUCACACAUCAAUUUGGUUCUGCCGUUUGGAUUCGUCAAAAUUUAUGUUAAAUUGAUGGCAUGACAUGUAUAUGGUGCCUACAUAUCCAAUGAGAUAAUGACCCGUGGAUCUAAGUAAAAAAUUUGUUUUAAAAAAAUAGUUUCAUAUUUAAAAUUUUUAAAGGGCGAAGACUCAUUGGGUAACUCGAAGUUUGGGUUGUUGAAGCCUUCAAGCAUGGUUUUGCUCACAAAAGAUUGGAACGCAAUGUGUUGGGUUGAGCACUGAAAACCAAAGAAUAUCAAAAAUGUAGUAGGGGGGAGAGAGAGAGAGAGANNNNNNNNNNNNNNNNNNNNNNNNNNNNNNNNNNNNNNNNNNNNNNNNNNNNNNNNNNNNNNNNNNNNNNNNNNNNNNNNNNNNNNNNNNNNNNNNNNNNACCUCAUGUCAGCACUUAAUAGAAAAUUUGACGGACCCUAACGGCAUGGAUCAAAUUGAUGUGUGGUGUGUAACAAAAAGGAUCAAUAAUGUCACAAAAAACAUAAAGGACCAAAGUUGAUAAUUUUGCGAACCUUAUACACCAUUUAUGAUAAAAACCCUAUAUUGUAUAAUUUUAGUGUGUUUUUUUCUUAAAUGCUAUUGAGAAGAGAUUUUAUAAAACUGCUAUAUAAAAGGUUCACCACAAUGCUAUAAAACAAUAGUAGAUUAUGGCUCUCAGAUGUUUUCAUCUUCUUAUUCAUCCAAGCAGAUCGAUAACAUAUGGUCACUACUGACUUUUUCUUGUAGUUCUCAACAUCCAUCUUUCAAGCCAUCAACCAAGUUGUUGCAUUGCUCCUCACUGUUAGAAAAGCCUCGUUUCCCUCCUCCUCCUCCAUUGAUUGAAGGAGAGACAACAAAAGCAACUUAUGAAACAAGCCCCUCAUUUCCUUGUUAAACAUAAAUCGACCCAUUAUUGAUGAGGACUGAGAAUCUAAGAGCACACUAGUAAUUAACCUGAGUGGGGAAUAUGGAUGAUGGAUCUCUCUCUCUCUCUCUCUCUCUUGAAAAAAUCAACUUCAUUAUCCUUGGUGAAUUUGUUCUGAAUUAGUCGUGUCCAGCUACAAGCAAUACUGUACGUAGUAUAUUAUUCUCUGCAUUUGUGCAUGCCAACAACAAACAAAUAUUAUUCUCUAUUAUAGCAUAUAGGCCGUCAUUUUCAAUCCUUAUAAGAGAAAACUUGCUUCGCCAUAAGAGUACGUAGCUUGGCAAGCAAGGUAAGGGUACUUCAAAAGAUUCCUUCCAUCAUCUAUAUAAGACACAUGUGACAUUGCAUGUCUCAUCAAUCAUGUUAAGAUAAAGCUAGCUGGCAAGGCAAAUUACCAACCUUUAUGCUCGAGUAUAUUAUUCCAAGCAGAUAUAAAUGUUAAUAUAUGUGAAGAAUAUUAUGAUCAAUAUAGAAUAUGUAUCAUGAUCAGUUAUGGUAUCGACUGUCAGAAAAUAUCAUCCGCAUAUGUGCAUACCAACAUUAUCGAAAGACAGUAGGAGUAUCGUCAUAUCCGAUACAAGUAUCGGAGCAUGGGUAAGAGUAUAUAUACAAGCAUACCCGUCCAAUUAGGAGAAUCAGUGCAACAUAGAUGAAAAGAAAUUAGAUGUGAUUUCACAUAUUUUUAAAGAAUAGGGGAAAUAAACCAAUUAAUCUCUUUUGUCUUCUCCAUACAUUUUUGGUUGUGAAUUUUGGUUUUCGAAGAAUUUGGCAUUUCAAGCAACUUGGAAAACAUUUUGAUGAUCCAUUGAACCUUGUUAAAGUCGAUAUUCAAUCUCUAUGGACUUUGGCCGAAAUGUCUCAUUUCAAUUGGAAAGUGACAUUGAGAUUUGAAAAGACUAGACAUUAAGGUGGCAAGAGAAGUCUAAAAGGAUCAAACAGAAAAAAAUAAUGAAAAAUUGAAAAUAACCUAGAAAGGGGAGAAAAAAUUAGUUGCAAUAGGGAUAAUAAUGUUUGAGUAAUGCUAAACGAACUCUAAAAUUAACUUAGUACACCCUACUAUCAAACUAUUUAUUGAAUUACUAAUUUACCCUAAUAUAAAAUGACCAAAAAGGAUAUAUUGAAUUGUGCAGCAAAUGUAAUUUUAAUAAGUACACAUUACUCACCAUAUUCAACCCUAAUAUUCGAUGGAGGCGACAUUGAAUGCUAUGAAUCCAACCCAAACCCACCACCACCGUCCCUCUCUCUCUCUCUCUCUCUCUCUCUCUCUCUCUCUCUCUCUCUCUCACAAAUUAUCUUAUUUGCUCUAAAUUUUUUGCAAUGAGUCAGAAUCUUCUAUGUGUAUGUGGCAUUCGUUCAUUAGACUUGGUUAAUGCAUUCAACCCACCCAAAACAAUAAUCAUUUGAUGUUCAUCCUCGAUGUUGGUGGUUUCAAGUGAGCAUGUUCCCAAACGGCUCUUACACUUGCCCACUAGAACUCCAGCUCCUCACCCUCUGAUGAAUCUAAUGACAAUUAUGUUGUUGUUUGCACCAUAAACACCAACUUCCAACAACUCCAAUACAACCUAUUUCUUCUUAAUUAGAUACCUUGGGGGUUGAUAGCAACCUCAAUAGUCUAAGAAACAAACCCACUUCGGAAUUUUCCUUCUUCCACUAGUUGAAGGGAGAUGGGUUCCAACACGAUAUUACGCGCUUAUUAGAAUCUUAUACUCGUCGAGUCUGGGUUGGCUGGUGAUAAGCAGGGGAAGGGUGGAGUUGGGUUGUGUUAGAGAGAGAGAGAGAGAGAGAGAGAGAGAGAGAGAGAGAGAGAAAGAGAAAGAGAGAGAGAAGGGCGGUAGUGGUUGGGUUGGGUUGGAUGCGAAAGGGCUUAAAUCAGAGGAGGAAGGACGGGUUUGGCUGGGUGGGUGACAGGACCCGACCCAAUUUCCGCUUUGGAAUCCGAGCUGAAUCCUGUGCGUGUCCGACACCUGGCGAAUGUCGGGCACGAAUGACCUUUUUACCCUUCUCUUUUCAAAUUCUUUUUUUUUUUAAACUUCCCUUAGACUUCUACCGAAAAUUCGACAGAGUCUCCCCUGUAUUUUGACCAAACCCAAAGUCUUCCACCUGUCAAACAGUCUCAAAUAACACACCAACUACCAGACUAACUCAACCAACAGAUCUCAACUCCAGUUUCUCAUGUUCAACAAGAUAUCAAAGCAUUUCUAUACAAAUUUACAGAACUAUGAGAAAGUUACAACGAGAUCCUACACUUUGGGGGUGGGGCGAAAGCUGGGAAGAUGGCCCGAGUGGUUUCCUUCGUACUUCUAUGGCCUGGGGGCGAAAAACAAGGUUAAAAUUGUGAGUGGACAAAAAUAAAAUUCUUUAAAACAAAAACAAGUUAGAACAUAAUAACCCCCGUUUUGAAAUACUAGGGAUAUAAAUCGUUAAUUUAGCUAUAUUUCAAUAUAAGGAAUUCAAUAAACAUGAAUAAAUAUACUGACGAAUAAACUUGCAUAACUGAUCAAAUAUAUAUAAAGAUAAUAACGCAUGAAUAUCAAGAAACUGGUAUAAAAUCACGGGAAAUCAUAACUGGAUAAAAGAGCUCAAAAUCCUUUGAAACUACCACCUAGAUGUACCCCUGUCAUAUCCGUCAAUUCCCCUGGCAGGUCUCGGGCGUCACGCAGUCUACCCGAGCCGCAAACUGGCGAAAUCAAGGGACUAUGAUCAGCCUGAUCCGCCGGCAGGUCUCGAUGACACCAAGUCGACUCGAGCCGCUCUGGCAGGAUGCAGGGGACCGCAGUCAGCCUGAUCCGCAAUCCUGGCAGGUCUCGGGGACACAGAGUCAGCCGAGCCGCAAAUCCUGGCAGGUCUCGGGACACCAAGUCUGCCGAGCCGCAAAUUCUGGCACUCACGGUCCGAGCGUCCCCGAAACUCGUGAGGCAAAGUCAAGUGCACUGACGUAACUGAAAUCAGACUGGAUGUUCGUAGACAUCGGUCCGACUGUGGGUAAUCACCAUAAAUAGAUGGGUACAUGGUGGUUUAACAAGAAAUUCUGAUAACUCUCUGAAAUCUGAUAAGUCUGAACUAAAUUACUAUCUUUGUAUCAAAAGUCUCAAGUUUACUGCUCAACCAAUAUUAUAAAAAUAAAGAUAUUUCACAAUGCAAAUCAUGCUUCGAAAUUACGUAAUAACACUUAUUCAAGAUCAAAUAGAAAAUAUAAUUAUAAAAUCUUUUAGGAAAGAAAAGUCCACUCACUGUUGGUCCGAGCUAUCUGGACCCUUCGAAGAUCCCUCAUGUGGGUCAACUGGACCUCUGGUGCCUUACUCGAUUGAUUUGGUGGAGAAUUGAAGGAGAACGAAGGAGAUGAAGUUUGGAUGAAAAACAGGCGGAAAUCGCCAGUUUCCGGCCAAUUCCCGGCGGUCCAAGGCCGGCGACGGGUCGAGGAAGGGAGGCGGCGGCGAGGCGGACCGAUUGACACCAACGGCGGAGGUCGCCGUGCCCUGUAGCGACGGCACGCUCGAUCUGAAACAGGGAGGGGGGCGGCGGUUGCGACGGGAGAGAGAGAGAGAGAGGAGAGAGAAAUGAGGAGAGAGAAGAGAGAAGGAAGAGAUAAAAUCUGACUUUUUUUUCAAAUUACCGUUUUGCCCUUCGAGGUAAUUUAAUCGUAUCUUCUUCAUUACAAUUCCAAUUCGGGUCUACUCCGUGUCUACGGACUCGUUUCGCCGUGCUCUACGCAACGGCGCAAGCGAAAUUCUCAAAUUCUUUCUUGAUCAAAAAGUCAAAUUUUCCCCUAUUAAAAUAUGCGAGGGCAAAAUCGUCUUUUGGGUAGAAUAAAGAAAUCCUAAUUUUUAGAUAUUUUAGUUUGGGUUAUUACAGUGGGGGGUGGAGAGAUGAUGGGAGGUCGAUUUAACAGGGUUAAGUGUUGUUAAGUGGUUUACCACAUGUCAAAAAAAUAGAAGGAAAACAUGUCGGGCACAUGGCAUUUGGUAACAGUAAAAUUGGACUCAUGAAUGAGUUAGGUGUUGUGUGAUAGAGUGUAUUAGGGUGUACCAUGGGUAUUUUUAGUAGUUAAAUAGGAUGUACUGAGUUAAUUUUAUAAUUUGAUUUAAAUAUUAGGGUAUACUUAGAUCAUAGGGUGUACUCAGUUAAUUUUAAGGUUUGUUUAGCAACAUUCUAAUGUUUUGUUAUCCCCGGUCAAUAAUUUUAUAUCGUGUGGCUUAGAAGGAGGCCUGUUAUCCAACUCAUCUGGUCCACCGUCCAUGAUAUGAACCCGACUUGAGAAUCUUUUGGUGAAGUAGAACAACCCAACUUGAGAGUUGAGGCAGCCAAACUAGAAGGGAAGCAUCCCCACUCCAGUCCCGCUCCCCAUGUGCCCAAUACUUUGCUUGUUUACUUCACCUUUUAAACCUUUUAGGAUUUUCCAUAGGCUAAGAGGAAAACAACAACAUUACGGCCCAGUUUACGAAUGGAUUCGAGGGGAAAUUACUUCCCAUGCCAUUUUUUAAGGGAUGGAAAAUGGAGAUUCAUUUCCCAUAUUUGAUAAUCCUAGGAAAGUAACUAAGAAAUACUACUUUAUUUCCUUUCACAUAUUUGGUUUGUGUAGGAAUGUAAAACAAAGUUAGUUUAAUUUUUCAAUUAUAUCCAUAUGAAAUUAAAUUUUAAAAAAAAUGUAUUUAAUGCUAUAUUGUUAAUGGGGACAAUAUGGUCAUGAAAAAUGUGUAUUUAAUGUUGGCUAAUUUUCUCAAACUUUCUCAUGUGCAAGACAACGAUUUCUCAUGCCUAGACUUACCAAAUAUGGGAAAGCAAUUGAUUUCUCAUCACCAAGCCUCCUUUCCCAUGAACCAAACAGGACCUACAAGUUAUUAGCUUCAAGCCUUCAAGGAUUUUCAUAACAAAUCUUCCAAUCUCACACAAAAAUAAAAAAGCAUCCAUGUAUGUAAUUUCUAGAUUAAAAUCUCACUUUUUAGGCAUUCCAUUUUCUUAGGAUUAGGUAUUACUACGCACGGACAAUCUUACGAUUAUCUGCAAUUCAUCCUUCAAUAGCUAUGGACGUUAUAUCAAAUCAACAAUAAGACGUACAUUUCUUCAAAGAACUAAAUCAUGCGGAUGUCAACUUGCUCUCACUUAUAUGUUUGUCUCUCCAUAUGAGGAAGGGUGUUUAGCUUAAGGUUUUAGGGCGCGGUUGUCUAAGAACAAUAAGGUGAACAUGUUUUGUCAAAGUACAUGGGAGACCUUUAUCUUCAAACACAAAAAAUGGCCAAAAUUAAAUUAGCAAGGAUCGACAUAUGGAUGUGAGCUUUUACACAUUGCCACUAAUUCUCUCCAUACUUUUGUUGAAAUCAUUUACAAAAUAAGAAAACUUUAGUAAUUGAAGCGAAAGAGAAGAAUUACCAGAACAGAAAAUAAGAAAAAAGAAGCACCUAACCCAAACUUUAAGUCACGAAUUUAACAGUUUACUUUUUAAAAAAAGUAAGUUACAAAACAAUCCCCUUAUUGAUGAGGAUUGAGAAUUUAAGAGCACUAAUAACUUGAGUGAGGAAUAUUGCACAUGGACGAUGGAUCUCUCUCUCUCUCUUUGAAAAAAAAGAAAAAAGAAACAAAAAUCAACUUCAUUAUCCUUAGUGAAUUUGUUCUGGAUUAGUUGUGUUGCAAUGGAACAUCGAACCUACCUAGCUAAAAGGAAAAAAGAAAGGCCACUACGACAGUACUGCAGUAUAUUAUUCCAAGAAGACAAAUGUAAACUAUAUACGUGAAGAAUAUCUAUUAUUGGUCGUCAUUUUCAAUCCUCAUAAAAGAAAACUUACUUCGCCAUAAUUUCAGGUUGUUCUCAAGGCAGGAAGGUAAGGACACUUGAAAAGAUUCCUUCUCAUCAUCUAUACAAGGAAAUGUGUUCUCAUCAAGCUAGGGGACAAGGCAAAUUAGCAACCUUUAUACUCGAUAUAUUAUUCCAAGCAGAUAUACAUGUGAAGAAUAUUAUGAUCUUGAUCAAUAUGGAAUCAGUGGGUGUAUCGAUCGACCAUCCAAAGAAAAAGGAUAUCCUCUGCAUAUAUGUGUGCAUGCCAACAACUAUAAAAGGAGACCAUGAGGCAAUGAGUUGAUCAUCAAAGCAAACACACAGAUAUCCCAACUAAAAAUCAUUCAGUGAGACAAUGGCUGGAACCAAUGAUAUUAAAAUUAAAGGGUUCGAUUUGAGCAAAAACAGCGGCAACACGUCCGGAUUAACCCACUUCGCCAACAGAGCUGACGAGGGCGACAAGGGCGACAAUAAAAUCGAGGUUGAGGAUGCUAAAGCGCAAGAUAACAAGGGAAACUUGAAAGUACUGACCGACUUCGCCCAACGUGGUAAGGUGGGCCAGUCGGAUCGCCAAGAAAUCACGGGGAGCAAGCCACUUCAGACGGCAGCAUGAAAUUGAUGAAGGCCAUACCAUAAUAAAAUAUCUACACUAAAAUAAGAGCUGAUGCAGUAUCUGAGGCUCCUUCCUUGGUUAGGCCUCAUUAUCAUGUGCAAUACUAAUAUUAUUAUUCUAAUAAAAUAAUGGUAGCUUAUUAUUAAAUAUAUCAAAAUUCUAUACGUAUAACUUUUAGAUUAUUGAUACUGAUGACAUACCAACAAGAGAAAACGAUUCAAAAGUCCUUUCUCCAAUUCGUGAUGUUACAAAAUGAGACGUCAAAUUUAAAAAUAUAGUUGCAUACGAGUAUAAACUGAACCAAUAAGCAAUGUAUGAGUGACCAAAGGUCUCAAACGAUGCAUUUAAGAAGAAGGGUACUAAAUUAAAAGAUGUACGCCAGUGAACUAUGGCAAUCUCUCGUUGCAUGCACGCAUAUGCAAUUGAAGAAGACCUAACUUAUAUCACGAAGAAGUGGAUGGGUCUUUACAUAUGAAGUUUUUAAAAUUAACACUACCGGAAGACAAUAGGAGUAUCGGCGUAUCUGAUACAAGUAUCGGAGUCUCGGAGUAUUAGAUUUGAGCAUACCUGUCCAAAUAGGAGUAUCGGUGCAACAUAGAUGAAAAGGAAUUGGAUGUGAUUUCACAUAUUUUUAAAGAACAGGGGAAAUAAACCAAUUAAUCUCUUUCGUCUUGUCCACACAUUUCUUGUUGCAAAUUUUGGUUUUCAAAAAAUUUGGCAUUUCAAGCAACUUGGAAAACAUUUUGAUGAUCCAUUAUUGAACCUCUAAAGUCGAUAUUCAAUCCCUAUCGACCUUGCUCAAAAAAUGUCUCAUUUCAAUUAGUGCAGAGAAAAAUAAAGGCAGAGUUGAAAAUAGAUUUUUCAGUUUGGAAAGUGACAUUGAGAUGUAAAAAGACUAGACAUUAAGGUGGCAAGAGAGAUCUAACAGGAUCAGACAAAAAAGGAAAAAAAAAUGAAUGAAAAAUAGAAAAUGCCCUAGAAAGGGGAGAACAACUUAGUUGCAAUGGGGAUAACAAUAUCUUGCUAUUACUGGUCAAUAAUUUUAUACCACGUGGCCUAGAAGGAGGCCUGUUAGUCCAACUCAUCUGGUCCACUUCCCAUUAUAUGAACCCGACUUGAGAGUUUUGGUUUUUUGGUUGAAGUAGAACAACCCGACUUGAGAAUUGAGGCAGCCAAACUAGAAGGGAAGCAGCCCACUCCACUCCCGCUCCCCAUGUGCCCAGUACUUCGCUUGUUUACUUCACCUUUUAAACCUUUUAGGAUUUUUUUUAUAGGAUAAGAGGAAAACGACGACAUUACAAGUUAUUACGCAUCAACGUAUGUAAUUUCUAGAUUAAAAUCUCACUUUUUACGCAUGUCAUUAUCUUAGGAUUAUGUAUUACUACGCACUGACAAUCUUACGAUUAUCUGCAAUUCAUCCUUCAAUGACCAAAGACGUUAUAUCAAAUCAACAAUAAGACAUACAUUUCUCCAAAUAACUAAAUUAUGUGGAUUUCAACUUGCUCUCAUUUAUAUGUUUGUCUCUCUCCUCCUAUUGAUUAGCCUCUCCAUAAGAGCAAAUAUGAAAAAAGAAGCUCCCAAUCCGAACUUUAAGUCACAAGUUUAACAGUUUACUUUUAAACAAAAGCAAGUUACGAAACAAUCCCCUGAUUUCCUUGUUAAACAUCAACCGACCCAUUAUUGAUGAGGAUUGAGAAUCUAAGAGCAUAUGGACGAUGGAUCUCUCUCUCUUUUUGAAAACAAAAACAAAAACAAAAAACAAAAAUCAACUUCAUUAUCCUUGGUGAAUUUGUUCUGGAUUAGUUGUUUUGAAUUAGUACAGCUUACGUACGCAAUGGAACAUCGAACUUAGCUAGCUAAAAGGAAAAAAGAAAGGCCACUACUACAGUACCGCAGUAUAUUAUUCCAAGAAGACAAAUGUAAACUAUAUACGUGAAGAAUCUCUAGUAUUGGUCGUCAUUUUCAAUCCUUAUAAAAGAAAGCUUGCUUCGCCAUAAUUUCAGGUUGUUCUCAAGGCAGGCAGAGAGAGUACGUAGCUUGGCAAGAAAGGUAAGGGCACUUCAAAAGAUUGUUUCUCAUCAUCUAUAUGAGGAAAUGUGUUGCCAUCAAGCUAGCGGACAAGGCAAAUUAGCAACCUUUAUACUCGAUAUAUUAUUCCAAGCAGAUAUACAUGUAAAUAUAUGUGAAGAAUAUUAUGAUCAUGAUCAAUAUAGAAUCUGUAUCAUGAUCAGAGGGUAUCGAUCCAGCAUCCAAAGAAAAAGGAUAUACUCUGCAUAUGUGCAUGCCAACAACUAUAAAAGGAGACCAUGAGGCAAUGAGUCGAUCAUCAACGGAAACACACAGAUAUCCCAACUAAAAAUCCAUCGUGAGACAAUGGCUGGAACCAAUGAUAUUAAAAUUAAGGGGUUUGAUUUGAGCAACAACAAAGGCAACACGUCGGGAUUAACCCACUUCGCCAACAGAGCUGACGGGGGCGACAAUGGCAACAAUAAAAUCGAGGUUGAGGAUGCUAAAGGGCAAGGGAACACGGGAAACUUGAAAGUACUGACCGACUUCGCCCAACGCGGUAAAGUGGGCCAGUCGGAUCGCCAAGAACUACUCAAACCUCAGGCAUGAAAUUGAAGAAGGCCAGACCACAACAACUUGUCUGCUUGAUAGAUAUAUGUGCUAAAUUAUCUACACAAAAAUAAGAGCUGAUGUUUUAUCUGAGGCUCCUUCCUUGGUUAGGCCUCGUUAUCAUGUGUAAUAUUAAUAUUAUUAUUCUAAUAAAAUAAUGGUAGCUUAUUAUUAAAUAUAUCAAAAUUCUAUACGUAUAACUUUUAGAUUAUUGAUACUGAUGUCAACAAGAGAAAAUGAUUAAAAAGUCCUUUCUCCAAUUCGUGAUGUUACAAAAUGAGACUUCAAAUUUUAAAACUAUAGUUGCAUACGAGUACAAAACUGAACCAAACAAUGUAUGGGCCAGAGUGACCAAGGAUGUACGCCAGUGAACUAAUGGCAAUCUCUCGUUGCAUGCACGCAUAUGCAAUUGAAGGAGGCAUUAUCUGAGGCUCCUUCCUUGGCUAGGCCUCAUUUUCAAUUUUGAUUUCAACUUUGAUUUUGCUUAAACUUUGAUUUUGAGCUAGACUGUGAUUUCGACUUUGAUCUCCCAAUUCGUGCCUUAAGAAUCAGUUUCUCCCAACUCUAUUUACCAAAACCGAAAACUCUGAACUUUUCAAUUCGUCUGGCUACUCUCAGGGUUUCAUGCCUUAGUUUCCUCUCGCCAAAAAGCCAAAAAGACUUGGCUUUCAUGUAAUGCUAUACUCCUCGAUUGAACAAGCCGCGUCUUCAAAUUCAGCUUUCUCACUUCCUUUCUCUUUACUUUCUUUCUUUUGUUUUCCGGCUGGGAAAAUCAUGGAAGCAUUACAAAUUUAAGAGAAUAUUCUAGUAUUAGGGUCCAAACUGUACUAUUUAGGUAUUUUCAUUCUGAUUAAGAGUUCUUUUCUAGAAAUUUGGGGAAGAAAAAAUAGAGUUUCUGUUUUAGUGUUUGAUUUUCAUUACAGUGAAUUAUGUGAAACCGAAAUGUUUCUUGUCUGAUUUCAUCACUGCUUUCAAAUUGCAAAUUAAGGAUUUGAAGGUUAACAAUGCCCGUCUUUAACAAUGUCGCAUUUCAAUUAGUACAAAAGAAAAAUAAAGGCAUAGUUGAAAAUAGAUUUUUCAGUUUCGAAAGUGACAUUGAGAUUUAAAAAGACUAGACAUUAAGAUGGCAAGAGAGAUCUAAAAGGAUCAAACAAAAAAAGUGAAUGAAAAAUUGAAAAUGCCCUAGAAAGGGAGGAAAUCUUAGUUGCAAUGGGGAUAACAAUGUUUUGCUAUCCUCGAACAAUAAUUUUACACCACGUGACCUAGAAGGAGGCAUGUUAAUCUAACUCAUCUGGUCCACCGUCCAUGAUAUGAACCCGACUUGUGAGUUUUUUUUUUUUUUUGUUGAAGUAGAACAACCAAACUUGAGAGUUGAUGUCACAUCUCAGGAUCGGCUUCACCGUAGCACGAUAUUGUCUGCUUUGGGCCCCCUCGCUGUCCUCGCGGUUUUGUUUCUAGGAGCUCACGAGCAACUUCUCAGUUGGUCACUCAUCUUAGGAUUGCUCUGGCCCAAACUCACUUAACUUCGGAGUUCUCAUGACUCCGAAGCUAGUGAGCUCCUAAAAGGCCUCGUACUAAAUGGAAGUGGGCAUAUAUAUAUAAGGCACAACACCCCAUCUUCGUUGGUUGAUGUGGAAUGUUACAAUCCACCCCCCUUAGAGGUCUGACUUCCUCGUCGGCACACUCUCACCACACGGCAGAGUGGCUCUGAUACCAAACUGUCACAUCCCGGGAACGGCUCCGUCGUAGCACGAUAUUGUCCGCAUUGGGCCAACCUUUCUGCCCUCACGGUUUUGUUACUGGGAGCUCACGAGCAACUUCCCAGUGAAUCACUCAUCCUGGGAUUGCUCUAGCCCAAACUCGCUUCACUUCGGAGUUCCUAUGACUCCGAAGCCAAUUAGCUCCCAAAAGACCUCGUGCUAGAUAAAGGUGGGCACGUACAUAUAAGGCACAUCACCUUCUCUUCGUUGAUCGAUGUGGGAUGUUACAGUUGAGGGCUCCGUUGGUCGAUGUAGGAUGUUACAGUUGAGGCAGCCAAACUAGAAGGGAAGCAACCCAACUCCACUCCCUCUCCCCAUGUGCCCAGUUCUCUGCUCGUUUACUUCACCUUUUAAACAUUUUAGGAUUUUCCAUAAGCAAAGAGGAGAACGACCACAUUACGGUCUCGUUUGGUUCACGAACAGAUUUAAGGGGAAAUAACUUCUCAUGUCAUUUCUCAAGGGAUGAGAAAUGGAGAUUCAUUUCCCAUAUUUGGUAAUCCUAGGAAAAUAACAAAGAAAUACCACUUUAUUUCCUUUCACAUGUUUGGUUUGUCUAGGAAUGUAAAACAAAGUUUGUUUAAUUUUCCAAUUAUACCGAUAUGAAAUCAAAUAAAAAAAGAAUAUUUAAUGUUAUAUUGUAAUUCUAAACUGUUAAUAGGGACAAUAUGAUCAUGAAAAAUGUGUAUUUAAUGUUGGCUCAUUUGCUUAUUUUCCCAAACUUUCACAUGAGGAGGAAAACAAAACCCAAGGGGGGAGGAUGGCUUCACUUUCCCCUCUACUUUCCCAUGUACAAGGCAACGAUUUCUCAAGUCUGGACUUACCAUACAUGGGAAAGAAAUUAAUUUCUCAUCCCCAAGUCAUUUUUCCCAUAAACCAAACGGAGCCUACAGGUUAUAAGCUUCAACCUUUAAGGAUUUUCAUAACAAAUCUUGCAAUCUCAUACCAAGGAAAUAAAAAUAAAAAAAAGGAUCCAUGCGUGUAAUUUCUAGAUUAAAAUCUCACUUUUUACGCAUGCCAUUAUCUAAGGAUUAGGUAUGACUACACACGAACAAUCUUACAAUUAUCUGCAAUUCGUCCUUCAAUGGCCAAAGACGUUAUAUCAAAUGAACAAUAAGACGUACAUUUCUUCAAAGAACUAAAUUAUGUGGAUUUCAACUUGCUCUCACUUAUAUGUUUCUCUCUCUCCUCCUAUUGUUUAGCUUAAGGUUUUAGGGCGUGGUUGUCUAAGAACAAUAAGGUAAACAUGCUUACAAAAAAAGAUGGACAGCAAGGAUGGACAUAUGCGAAUGUGAGCUUUUACACAUUGCCACUAAUUUUCUCCAUGAUUUUGUUGAAAUCAUUAACAAAAUAAGAAACUUUAGUAAUUGAAGCGAAAGAGACUAAUUAUCAGAAGAGAAAAUAUGAAAAAAGAAGCUCCCAAUCCAAACUUUAAGUCACAAGUUUAACAGUUUACUUUAAAACAAAAGCAAGUUACGAAACAAUCCCCUGAUUUCCUUGUUAAACAUCAACCGACCCAUUAUUGAUGAGGAUUGAGAAUCUAAGAGCAUAUGGACGAUGGAUCUCUCUCUCUUUUUGAAAACAAAAACAAAAACAAAAAUCAACUUCAUUAUCCUUAGUGAAUUUGUUCGGGAUUAGUUGUGUUGAAUUAGUACAGCUUACUUACGCAAUCGAAUAUCAAACCUAGCUAGCUAAAAAGAGAAAAAGAAAGGCCACAACGACAGUACUGUAGUAUACGUGAAGAAUCUUAUGAUCUAUAAUAUUCUGUAUUAUUGGCCAUCAUUUUCAAUCCUUAUUAAAGAAAACUUGCUUCGCCAUAAUUUCAAGUUGUUCUGAAGGCAGGCAUAGAGAGCACGUAGCUUGGCAAGGGAGGUAAGGGCACUUCGAAAGAUUCCUUCUCAUCAUCUAUACAAGGAAAUGUGUUCUCAUCAAGCUACGGGACAAGGCAAAUUAGCAACCUUUAUACUCAGAUAUAUUAUUCCAAGCAGAUAAACAUGUAAAUAUAUGUGAAGAAUAUUAUGAUAAUGAUCAAUAUAGAAUCUGUAACAUUAUCAGAGGGGUAUCGAUCGACCAUCCAAAGAAAAGGAUAUCCUCUGCAUAUGUGCAUGCCAACAACUAUAAAAGGAGACCAUGAGGCAAUGAAUCAUCAAAGCAAAGACACAGAUAUCCCAACUAAAAAUCAAUCAGUGAGACAAUGGCUGGAACUGGAACCAAUGAUAUUAAAAUUAAAGGGUUCGAUUUGAGCAACAACAGCGGCAACACGUCGGGAUUAACCCACUUCGCCAACAGAGCUGAUGGGGGCGACAAGGGCGACAAUAAAAUCGAGGUUGAGGGUGCUAAAGCGCAAGAUAACAAGGGAAACUUGAAAGUACUUACCGAUUUCGCCCAACGCGGUGAAGUGGGCAGGUCGGAUCGCCAAGAACUUCUCAAGCCUCAGGCAUGAAAUUGAAGAAGGCCAUACCAUAUAUGUGCUGAAUUAUCUACACAAAAAUAAGAGCUGAUGUUUUAUCUGAGGCUCCUUCCUUGGUUAGGCCUCGUUAUCAUGUGUAAUAUUAAUAUUAUUAUUCUAAUAAAAUAAUGGCAGCUUAUUAUUAAAUAUAUCAAAAUUCUAUACGUAUAACUUUUAGAUUCUUGAGUGGGAAACCCUAGCUGCAUUCUGGUCCCUUUUCUUCUUGCCGACAACCAACCACAAGGAAACUAAAGGGGGAGGUGGCCACUGCCCCUCCCCCCCUUCGCCCAUCUUCCCUUUCUCUCCUCAUCUUCCCUUCUUUUUCUCCCAUCUUUUCCCUUCCUCUUAUGCCCUCUUCUCUUCCCAUUCCCUUUCCCAUAUAGUCUAGAUCUAUUUGGAUCUAGGUUUUGUUUGUUUGUUUGUUUGGUUUGGUUUGGUUGUUUUUGCAGUAUUCUAGGUGACUGGUAGUGACGUUGGAUUGUGUCUAUUAUCGGGAGAGUUGUGAUACCUAGUGGCUGAUGUUUUGUCUCUGUUUCAACGACGGCGGCAGUAGCGACACUAGUGAUAGUUAUUGGAUGUGGUGCUCUUCUUUAUUCUGCACUUACCGAAGAACUAUGCUUGGUCAUAGGAGGUUUUCUUUGUCAGAUUCUGAGUUGAAGUGGAGUGCUUCUUAGGGGUCCUUUUAUUGUUGCUUCUAUGUUCCUCCUCUGUGUUCUCUCCUGUUUUCUGUUAUGGUAUGCCUUGUAGUUUGUAUGGGUGUCAAAAUACUAUGAUUUUGCUCAUAGAAGGCUUCUUUUGACAGUUGGGAUAUUCUACGAUCCUCUUCUGUGGGUUUACUAUUUGGGGUUUCUGUCGUUCUCUCAUGUGGGUGUACUAUGUUGGUAUCUAGUUGAGGUUUUCGUCGGAGUUCUUUUUGUUAGUUUUCGUUUUUGAUUUGUUCUUUUAUUGUAAUGGUCCAAAGCGACCAGAAUUAAACUCUCUUGUUAGUCCAUGACAUGUGUGGUACUCUUUUCUCCCCGGGGUUUGUCCCUUGAGAUUGCCCUAGGAAGGUUUUAACGAGGCCACUAUAUCAUGUUGCUCAUUGUACGUCUUUGGUUCUAUUAAUUAAUUCUCUUUCUUAAAAAUAACAAAAAUAAAUAAAUAAAUAAAUAAAAAUUUAGAUUAUUGAUAACGAUGUCAACAAGAGAAAAUGAUUAAAAAGUCCUUUCUCCAAUUCGUGAUGUUACAAAAUGAGACUUCAAAUUGUAAAACUAUAGUUGGAUACGAGUAUAAAACUGAACCAGGCAAUGUAUGGGCCAGAGUGACCAAGGUUGUACGACAGUGAACUAAUGGCAAUUUCUCGUUGCAUGCACGCAUAUGCAAUUGAAGAAUGCCAUAAUAAUAUGUGUUUUUACUAAAUUAUCUACACUAAAAUAAAAACUGAGGCAUUAUCUGAGGCUCUUUCCUUGGCUAGGCCUCAUUUUCAAUUUUGAUUUCAACUUUGAUUUCGCUUAAACUUUGAUUUUGAGCUAGACUGUAAUUUCGACUUUGAUUCUGAUUCUCUCCCAAUUCAUGCCUUAAGAAUCAGUUUCUCCCAACUCUAUUUACCAAAACCAAAAACUCUAAACUUUUCAAUUCGUCUGGGUACUCUCAGAGUUUCAUGCCCUAGUUUCCUCUCGCCAAAAAGCCAAAAAGACUUGGCUUUCAUGUAAUGCUAUACUCCUCGAUUGAACAAGCUGCGUCUUCAAAUUCAACUUUCUCACUUCCCUUCUCUUUACUUUCUUUUCUUUUGUUUUCCAGCCCGGAAAAUCAUGGAAGCAUUACAAAUUUAAGAGAAUAUUCUAGUAUUAGGGUCCAAACUGUACUAUUUAGGUAUUUUCAUUCUGAUUAAGAGUUCUUUUCUAGAAAUUUGGUGAAGAAAAAAUAGAGUUUCUGUUUUAGUGUUUGAUUUUCAUUAUAGUGAGUUAUGUGAAAUCGAAAUGUUUCUUGUGUGAUUUCAUCACUGCUUUCAAAUUGCAAAUUAAGGAUUUGAAGGUUACAAAUUAUUAUGUAGAUAAUUUUUGGGAAUUUAAGAGGCAGUACAGUGUUUGUAUAAGUCUUGAGAUAGACCAAUUUACCACAUGCUCGAUUUCUAUAUAUAAAUUUUUUUAAAUCAUUCUUUUGUUUUAUUUAUUCUGUUAAUUUGUCAUAAUGUGUAAUAUGAUAGCUUCUAAUUCUUUCUUCCUAUUUCUUCUUUUUUGUUAUUCUCUCCCAAAUGAAAUGAAGACCUAACUUAUAUCAAGAAGAAGAGGAUGGAUCCUUACAUAUGAAGAUUUUAAAAUUAACAUUAUUGGAAGACAGUAGGAGUAUCGGCAAUUUGAUACAAGUAUCGGAGUAUCAAAUACGAGCAUGCCCGUCUUUAACAAUGUCUCAUUUCAAUUAGUACAAAAGAAAAAUAAAGGCAGAGUUCAAAAUAGAUUGUUCAGUUUCGAAAGUGACAUUGAGAUUUAAAAAGACUAGACAUUAAGAUGGCAAGAGAGAUCUAAAAGGAUCAAACAAAAAAAAUGAAUGAAAAAUUGAAAAUGCCCUAGAAAGGGAGGAAAUCUUAGUUGCAAUGGGGAUAACAGUAUUUUGCUAUCCUCGAUCAAUAAUUUUAUACCACGUGACCUAAGGAGGCAUGUCAAUCUAGCUCAUCUGGUCCACCGUCCAUGAUAUGAACUCGACUUGAGAGUUUUUUUUUUUUUUUUUUUUUUUUUUUGGGGUUGAAGUAGAACAACUAGACUUGAGAGUUGAUGUCACAUCUCAAGGUCGGUUCCACCGUAGCACGAUAUUGUCUGCUUUGGGCCCCCUCUUUGUCCUCGCGGUUUUGUUUUUAGGAGCUCACGAGCAACUUCCCAGUUGGUCACCCAUCUUGGGAUUGCUCUAGCCCAAACUCACUUAACUUCGGAGUUCUCAUGACUUCGAAAUCAGUGAGCUCCCAAAAGGCCUCGUGCUAAAAGGAGGUGGGCAUAUACAUAUAAGGCGCAACACCCCCUCUCCGUUAGUCGAUGUGGAAUGUUACAAUCCACCCCCUUUAGAGGUCCGACGUCCUCGUCGGCACAGUCUCACCACACGGCAGAGUGGCUCUAUGCCAAAUUGUCGCAUUCCGGGAUCGGCUCCGUCGUAACACGAUAUUGUCCGCGUUGGGUCAACCUCUCUGCCCUCACGAUUUUGUUUCUGGGAGCUUACGAGCAACUUCCCAGUAGAUCACUCAUCCAAACUCGCUUAACUUCGGAGUUCCCAUGACUCCGAAGCCAGUGAGCUCCCAAAAGACCUCGUGCUAAAUGGAGGUAGGCAUGUACAUAUAAGGCACAUCACCUCCGCUCCGUUGGUCGAUGUGGGAUGUUACAGUUGAGGGCUCCGUUGGUCGAUGUACGAUGUUACAGUUGAGGGCUCCGUUGGUCGAUGUAGGAUGUUAUAGUUGAGGCAGCCAAAAUAGAAGGGAAGCAACCCUACUCCACUCCCUCUCCCCAUGUGCCCAGUUCUCUACUCGUUUACUUCACCUUUUAAACCCCUUCGUACUUGAAGACCUGGCUGGCAAUUUGAUUGAAGCGAAAGAGACUAAUUAUCCAUGCUUUUGUUGAAAUCAUUAACAAAAUAAGAAACUUUAGUAAUUGAAGCGAAAGAGACUAAUUAUCAAAACAGAAAAUAUGAAAAAAGAAGCUCCCAAUCCGAACUUUAAGUCACAAGUUUAACAGUUUACUUUAAAACAAAAGCAAGUUACGAAACAAUCCCCUUAUUUACUUGUUAAACAUCAACCGACCCAUUAUUGAUGAGGAUUGAGAAUCUAAGAGCACAUGGACGAUGGAUCUCUCUCCCUUUUUGAAAACAAAAACAAAAACCAACUUCAUUAUCCUUAGUGAAUUUGUUCUGGAUUAGUUGUGUUGCAAUGGAACAUCGAACCUACCUAGCUAAAAGGAAAAAAGAAAGGCCACUACGACAGUACUGCAGUAUAUUAUUCCAAGAAGACAAAUGUAGACUAUAUACGUGAAGAAUAUCUAGUAUUGGUCGUCAUUUUCAAUCCUCAUAAAAGAAAACUUACUUCGCCAUAAUUUCAGGUUGUUCUCAAGGCAGGAAGGUAAGGACACUUGAAAAGAUUCCUUCUCAUCAUCUAUAUAAGGAAAUGUGUUCUCAUCAAGCUAGGGGACAAGGCAAAUUAGCAACCUUUAUACUCGAUAUAUUAUUCCAAGCAGAUAUACAUGUGAAGAAUAUUAUGAUCUUGAUCAAUAUGGAAUCUGUAUCAUGAUCAGUGGAUGUAUCGAUCGACCAUCCAAAGAAAAAGGAUAUCCUCUGCAUAUAUGUGUGCAUGCCAACAACUAUAAAAGGAGACCAUGAGGCAAUGAGUUGAUCAUCAAAGCAAACACACAGAAAUCCCAACUAAAAAUCAAUCAGUGAGACAAUGGCUGGAACUGGAACCAAUGAUAUUAAAAUUAAAGGGUUCGAUGUGAGCAACAACAGCGGCAACACGUCGGGAUUAACCCACUUCGCCAACAGAGCUGCCGAGGGCGACAAGGGCGACAAUAAAAUCGAGGUUGAGGAUGCUAAAGGGCAAGGGAACACGGGAAACUUGAAAGUACUGACCGACUUCGCCCAACGCGGUAAAGUGGGCCAGUCGGAUCGCCAAGAACUUGUCAAACCUCAGGCAUGAAAUUGAAGAAGGCCAUACCAUAACCACUUGUCUGCUUGAUAGAUAUAUGUGCUAAAUUAUCUACACAAAAAUAAGAGCUGAUGUUUUAUCUGAGGCUCCUUCCUUGGUUAGGCCUCGUUAUCAUGUGUAAUAUUAAUAUUAUUAUUCUAAUAAAAUAAUGGUAGCUUAUUAUUAAAUAUACCCAAAUACUAUACGUAUAACUUUUAGAUUAUUGAUACUGGUGUCAACAAGAGAAAAUGAUUAAAAAGUCCUUUCUCGCAUUCGUGAUGUUAGAA